rnacentral:rRNA from 1 species
UACGUAGGCAGCGAGCGUUGUUCGGAGUUACGUGGGCGUAAAGGGUGCGUAGGCGGUUGUUUAAGUUUGGUGUGAAAUCUCCCGGCUCAACUGGGAGGGUGCGCCGAAUACUGAAUGACUAGAGUGCGGGAGAGGAUAGUGGAAUUCCGUGGUGAUAGCGGUGAAAUGCGUAGACUAUCAGGAGGAACACCGGUGGUGUAGCACGGCUA